GACGAACGUUGGCGGCGUGCUUAAUACAUGCAAGUCAACUGAAGCACCGGUAGUAAUACUGGUGUGGAGGUGGCGCACGGGUGAGUAACAUGUAGGUAAUCUGCCUUCAGGUCUGACAUAACCCCGAGAAAUCGGGGCUAAUAGCAGAUGAUGCAGCGGCUUGACAUCAAGACAGUUGUUAAAGCAACCGAGCAAUCGGUGGCGCCUGAAGANGAGCCUGCGUCUGAUUAGCUAGUUGGCGGAGUAACAGCCCACCAAGGCUACGAUCAGUAGCUGGUCUGAGAGGAUGAUCAGCCACACUGGAACUGAGACACGGUCCAGACUCCUACGGGAGCAGCAGUAAGGAAUAUUGCUCAAU
rnacentral:rRNA from 1 species